rnacentral:rRNA from 1 species
UGCCAGCCGCCGCGGUAAUACGAAGGGCCCGAGCGUUGUGCGGAUUCACUGGGCUUAAAGGGUGCGUAGGCGGAUAUGUCAGUGCGUUGUGAAAGCCCACGGCUCAACCGUGGAACUGCAGCGCAUACUGCAUAUCUUGAGGUCGGUAGGGGCUGUCGGAACUCUAGGUGUAGCGGUGAAAUGCGUAGAUAUCUAGAGGAACACCAAUGGCGAAGGCAGACAGCUGGGCCGAUUCUGACGCUGAGGCACGAAAGCGUGGGGAGCAAACAGGAUUAGAUA